AACAUACAGCACUCUGCAGAUAUACUACCAAUCCCUUGCUCUCUCCCAAGCAUUCACUAACAUGGUAACUUUAGCAGCCAUUACUUUAGAAAUAGAAAUCAUUUCCUAGUAGAAAAUAAUGAACACUUACCUUUACUUUUCAGGUUUAUGUAUCUUUUGAAAAUGAGCCAGAAGUGAAUGUAGAACUUACUGACUACCAGAUAAAGAAAGAAAGAAACUACAAUUAAGAACUCUCUUUUAGAACUGAGACAACUAGUUUUUCAGCAAGUUUAAAGUUUUCUUAAUGGCACAAAAUUGGCCUUUUGGUUUCAGAAUAUUUUGUAGGUACUAGAAGGUAACCACUUAAAACUGUGGUAACGUCCAUACGUCCCACCAAAAAACAUGAUAUCAAAUAUUUGAGGGCCUCCUACUUGAAUUUACUGAAUCAAAACUAUAUAGGUUUGUGAUGUCCCACUCACAGAUUGACAUUUUUUAAAAAAUCACCUACAAUAUAUUAAGCUUCUGUAACUUUUUUUUCCUUCUAUAAUUGUUUUUCUAACUAAUCUUAUUCUAAGAUGUUUCUCAGGUGUCUAUGGCAUCAAUGGAUUUGUGGGCACACAAAGUUUCUAAAAAAAAUCAUUAAAAUUACUCAUGACUCUCCUUCUGGUAUAGAGGAGAAAGAAUGGUAAGGGGUUUUCUUACCUCACCACAGUGCUGUAUUUUAAAGUGAGAAAGAGAGGGAGGGGAUUAUAAUAGAGACUGUCAGAUUCCCCCAGAUCACCAAAUUCUUCAUGCCUUCCCUGCUAUUCCAUCCAAAGCAAUGAAAGCCAGAAUUAAAUCAUAAAUCCACAGAUGAUCAUUUCCAGGGUUGCAGUUACUGCUUGUUGGGGAUUCACUGAAGUUUCCUUUCAGUUACAUAGGCACCAAAGGAAAUAAUGGUAUUCCUAUACCAAAUAAACAGGUUCUGUGGACAAGACAAAGUAAUGCACAAGCCUGAUUUCUCAAAGGGGAAUUAAGUAUAUAAAUGUAAAGCAUCUGAUGAGGUCAGCAUUGCCAUACCAGUUCAAGAGGGAUAUUAGAUUACAAAACUACCUCUUAUUUCUUAUGAUAUUACUCUUCCUCCAUUAUACAACCAUCCAAGCAACACUUUUAAAAACUACUCUCUCAUUUCACAGUAUAUACAUAUAUACCAAAUAAUUGUGCUGUACACCUAAAACUGGUACAGCAUUAUAUGCCAAUUCUAUCCCAAUUUUUAAAAAUCACUCUAGUAUUGCAAUAAAUGUCAAUUUUAAAUCCUGUAUUAUUUAGGGGCCUGAUUUAUUUUUGGUCUUUUUUCCUCAGCUAAAGUGUAAGAAUAUGCUAUCAAUAUUUACUGAGGACAACCUCAAUGUCAUUUUUCAUAACAACAAACUCUUUGCCUUUCCUUAAAUAAGCCAGGAGCCUACAUACCUGCAAUACUUUGCUUUGUUCCUUCUGCUUAGAGACUUCCUCUUCUCUGGCCUCAUCCCGCUCCUCUUUUACCUAUGCACCUCCUCAUUGUCUGGCCCUACCCCAUAAUCUUUUUGAGAGCAAGAACUCUGUCUUAUUUACCAUUUUAUUUCCCAAACAUAUCUCGGUGAGUGUAGUUGAAUGAAAAUUAUUUUCUGAAGAUGAACUGAGGGUAUCUGCUGACCACUGAUGAAUCAAAAUUCCAAAAUGAAAUUCCACUACAAUUUACAGUAGGAUAAAAUAUUUUAAACCUCACAAAAGGAAUGCCAGCUGACAAAAAUCUUUACCAUUACUCUACAGAGAUGAUAAUCAUUGAGGCAGUGUGAGCUGGAAAGUUCUUAGAGAUCACCUGGACAAGGGUUUUUAUUUUAGAUACGAGAAAGGAUGUCAAGAGAAGUGUUGUGACUUGUCCAAGGUCACCUAGCUAGUUCUAUCCCACAAAAGUCCAUUCAGAUUUUUUCCACAGACUAACUAUGAAGGAAAUUAAUAUUGAGUAGGUGCAUCAGCACAUAAGACGCAAAAUGGAAGUGAGUGGAGUAUUUCUAGAUACGCCACAAUUGAUUUUCACUCAUGUUUUGACAGAGAGAUGGAUGUGAUGGAGUAUCUGAGUGCAGUUACUGUUUAAGAAGGUGAUGGACUAACCAAUCUUGGUUUUAGCAAAGGAUAAAAAAAAGUGACCGUCCUUCACUUCACAUCUAGCUCCACCUACUCAUCUUAAAUAUUAACCACAAAUUGUUCAAGUUCAAGGGCAUGAAUAUCAGGGACUCAGAAUGUAAUGAUGGCAGCUUUCAGAAAUACAGACCCCAAAAGAGCCCCCAGGAAAUAUCCGGAAAGCAAAUGAUCUUGAAGUUGUAUAAUUUCUUUGAAAAGCCAAAACGUAAUCUAAAAAUACAGUCUGUUUCUUUAGGCCGAUAUACCAUACAGAUAUUGAAGUUAUCUUUCAUGAAGGAAAACAAAAUGUAAUAUUUCACACGUCUGAAUUUUAUGCUUCUUUUUCUCUCUAUAUAAAGGCUUCAUAAAGCUUUGGAUCUUGAAAUAAGAUCAAAGUAUAUCACAAUAUUUGAAGUAUCAUGCCCAAACUUACUGCCACAGGAGGAUAAAGAAAGGAAAGAAACAUCAAUGCAAAUAAAGAAGAUGCAUGAACAGUUAUAAAAAAUUAAGAUACUGUGCUGGGUUUUAUUCUGUGUUUACAUGUGCUCUUUCUCAUCCUCUUAAGUCAAUUAAACAUUAUGCUUGGUUUUUGCCUGAUCUACUUUGUGCAAUAAUAUCCUCCUUUGCAAAGAUGAGUCAGUUAAUGCUAAUGCUAAGAAAAAUAUGCUUGGUUACUUAUAGGAACCAAAACACCAGUCUUCCACUUUAAUAUAUCUUUAAAUCAACCAUUAUCACUUAUUUAUUGAAGAGGUUUAAUUCAGUUUUUUUUUAUAAAGAGGACUUUCUUUAAACUAAAGGAAAUAGCUGAUAUUUACGAAGACAACUCUUUAUUUACAGAAUAAAACUGAACUUUGCCGUAACUUAGCAUAAGCAAACAUGAAGUUCCUGUUCCCCUAAAGAAUUCUUACCAACAUCUUUUUCCUUUCAUGUUCAAGGGCAGAAAGCCACUGAUUUUGCCAAGAACAUAGCAAAGCUAUCCCAAGGUGCUCAUGGGAGUUCCCGUCGUGGCGCAGUGGUUAACGAAUCCGACUAGGAACCAUGAGGUCGCGGGUUCGGUCCCUGCCCUUGCUCAGUGGGUUAACGAUCCGGCGUUGCCGUGAGCUGUGGUGAAGGUUGCAGACGCGGCUCGGAUCCCACGUUGCUGUGGUUCUGGCGUAGGCGGGUGGAUACAGCUCCGAUUCAACCCCUAGCCUGGGAACCUCCAUAUGCCACAGAAGCGGCCCAAGAGAUAGCAACAACGACAAAAGACAAAAAAAAAAAAAAAAAAAAAAAAAA
rnacentral:lncRNA from 1 species